rnacentral:rRNA from 1 species
UACGUAGGGUGCGAGCGUUAAUCGGAAUUACUGGGCGUAAAGCGUGCGCAGGCGGUGAUGUAAGACAGUUGUGAAAUCCCCGGGCUUAACCUGGGAACUGCAUCUGUGACUGCAUCGCUGGAGUGCGGCAGAGGGGGAUGGAAUUCCGCGUGUAGCAGUGAAAUGCGUAGAUAUGCGGAGGAACACCUGUGGCGAAAGCGGCUUCCUGGUCCAGCACCGACAUUCAGGCACGAAAGCGUGGGGAGCAAACAGG